CUUAUGUCUCCUGCAUGAGCAUGCAGGUUCUUUACCACUAGUGUCACCUGGGAACUCGAUGCCCAUUAACUCCACGAGGCUUGAGCAAGAACUGCGGUAUCUGCAAACACAGGACACCUGCCUCCCUGGACCUAGGCAGUGGACUCAGCGUGGGCAGAGAAGGGGAGGCAGGAAGGAGGCCAAUGCUCUCGCCCACUCUGCUGGGGUCUCCCUGGCCCUCCCCCCAGGGAAGAGAAGCCUGGAGAGGGUGAGGAGUUGUCUGCAGGAGGGCGACCUGCUGCAAGUUCACGUGGUGCCGGAGCUGCUCUGUUUCUAUUCCAAAUGGGAAAAAAGUAUCCGAGGGAAUAAGUGAGAGCAGCGCUCCCCAAAGAGCUACGCUAACACCUCCCCAGCGGGUGCCGCUCAGCAUGAGGGCGCCACGCCUCGGGUGAAGACCCGGCCUCUCCCAGCUGGCCAGCCUCGGGCCCAGGAGGGGCUCAGGAGGAGAAUUAGGAAGAGGAAGGCGGAGGGGCGAGGGUGCAGAAAGGACAGGAAUCCUCGAAGCGCACUGUGGAUGAUGCUAUGAAGAGGGGAUGGUUGGAAGUGACCAAUGACCUUAGAUCCAUCCCUAUGACAGGAAGGGCGAUGGGCCACGGUGGCUUCUCUGAGCUGGCCUGGUAACAGCAAAGGCCAAGCACAGGCCCCUGGCGUCCCGAGCCCCUGGUGCAGGCGUGGGCACCACCAGGCGGAUAUGGACUCCCCAGGCUCCUGCCAGCUGACCUCCCUUGGCCAGCUUCACAAGCCUGCUGGUAAUCCUGAAACCCACGCCAAGACAUCCUCCCCCUCCGUGCUGACGGAACACAGCUGUGUGCCAGUGACUUCUGGGCCUUGGAUUCAGCAGGGAGGAGGUCACCAAAGGUUGCACGGUCACUGGAGGGUCCAAGCCAAGUCACCCACAGGCCCAAGUCAUCUCCACCAAGGCAGGAGCUGGCCCAGAGCAGAAUCUAGGGGGAGCAGAGUGCAUUGCCCUCGCCUGAGGCCCCUCAAAGCUGGGGACCCCUCGGCCCCCUGGGGUUGGAGGGGGCUCUUUGCUGUGCAGUUUCCAAAUCAUUUUCUCAAGAUCCUGCAAAGACUCUGAGCAACUGGCCCUUGGUCUGAGAGAAGCAGCGGGCUGACUGUGCUUCACGCAAAUCACUGUUACAGGAAGAGAAGUCAGCAGGGUCCCAGAGGGUCCAGGCAGAGGGGUGAGUGGCGGUAAGUGGAAGGCUACUCAGGUCACUGCCUUGGUGGGGGGACCAUCCUCAGAGGUGGAGCGCUCCUGCAGCACAGCCCUGCCACUCGGACCCCUGAGCACCCCCACAUGCCGUCCUUCUGGUCCUCCCACCAGCCUGUGAAAUUAGCAUGACUAUACCGAAGAGGCCAGGAGUGGGGAGACAGAAAGGGCCUGAUCUCUUGAGCAAGUCACCAAGGGCCUUCACCAUCUCCUGUGUGUCCCCCAGCACUUCCCAUUCUGCAAGGAGAAAUACACCCUUCCCUGUUGAAACCAAGGUCAGGUGGCAUCUCUUACGUGCGGCCAAAUGCAGGCCCAACACAGACACUUGCAUUGCAUUCAUUCUCAAUUCACAGCUAAAUGGCCGCAAAGUAAAGACUUUUCCUCAAACCCCAUGAUUAAGGAAAGCUAAGUUAUAUCCUCUGGGCAAAGAAGGAUGAGCUUCAAGGUGUGGGAGAACUGAUGAAUGACAGCAGCCCACAGUGGGUUCUCUACAACCCUGGACAAGAGAAUCCAGCUAGCAAUGCACACAGGAAGACGGUCUGAGCUGCCCACCGGUUAAACAGGAGACUCCGGCCCUGGUCCUUAGAGAAAGAAAGCCAAAGGGACUGUGCUGUAUUCCCCCAAACCCGAAACACACCCAGACACACAAACACACAUAGAUUCCUACAACUCUCAGACACACAAGCGCACACGGCACCACAGGGGGCAGGGAGAGGAUGAGGGCAGGCUGAGCUGCGAGGAUGUGGACGUGAGCAAGGAGAAGUCUCCUCCUUGGUGGGGGGUCUGGUUAAAGGGACAAAGUAAGAGCCUCCCGGAUUCUUCCAAGAACAGGCUCUGGGUCAGAAUGUCUUCUCCUGCAGGAAGCCCGGUUCGGUGACUCCCGUUUCCCUGGAUGUCAGCCACUCCGCUCGGAGGAGGUCAGGCCCUUCCCUGGCAAGUCAUCAUCUGCACGCAGCAGGCAGAACCUGGCCCUGGGAAACAAUCCACCAGAGAGUUUUUCCAUGAAGAGGAAGAACACAAGUUCCAGAGGACCCUGUCCGUGCUGGUCACCACUCAACCCCCAGUUCCCGUGUGGGGCAGGAGAUCCAUGGACACGGGUUCAAUCAGUGCACACGCUCAGGGCCACUGUGCCGCCCACCCUGUGGGAAGAGGCUGUUUCAUGGACCCUGAAUCUGGAGGAGAGGAGGAGGGACACACAGGAAAGACCCUCCCCUCACAUCUGAGAUCACUAGCAACCGCAAUAACGGACACUCCCCACUUGCAAAUUCUCCGUGCUAAUGAGGGACGAGAAUAAUUUAAAUCCACAGGUAAUCCGCAAACUUCAUCUCAGCUGUUUGUCCACUCCUCCUAGGCUCUGCUUUUCUUUCUCCCAGCAGUUGCUAAGGAGGCACAAAAGAAGACAUGUUUCAAGUUGCAGACCUCUCUUUCCCCCGCCA